CGGCGGACGGGUGAGUAACGCGUGGGUAACCUGCCUCAUACAGGGGGAUAACAGUUAGAAAUGACUGCUAAUACCGCAUAAGACCACAGGGCCGCAUGGCCCGGUGGUAAAAACUCCGGUGGUAUGAGAUGGACCCGCGUCUGAUUAGCUGGUUGGUGGGGUAACGGCCUACCAAGGCAACGAUCAGUAGCCGACCUGAGAGGGUGACCGGCCACAUUGGGACUGAGACACGGCCCAAACUCCUACGGAAGGCAGCAG
rnacentral:rRNA from 1 species